GACAUACACUUGUUGUUGUUAACACUAUAACAAACCGAUUUAUGUGCUUGGGGAAAAAGAGUAUAAAGUAGAAAAAAACUAUUUUGCAAAAAUUCUUAAUAAAAAGGAUUUUUUAGCAGGUUUUUUUAGAUAUUAUUUUCUGAGUUUAUUUAAUAGCGUACAGUUUGCUUUUAUAUUAUUUAUUUUGCUUUACUUUCAUUAGCAACGAAAAAUAAAACGCGUCCGUACUUAACGCCGGCACAAACUCUUAAUAUGUAAUAAGAAAAUAAAAGACUAUUUCCGACAUUUUUAGACAAAUGCACGAAGAAAAUCAUUUUGUCUCUGGAGGCAGUGGAUGUAAAUUAUUAAGCCCAAAUAUGGAUUUGGAUGUUAAGGAACAAUUGCUAAAGUUGUUACGAUAUUUUUAUGAUGAAAAUAAUGUCUUUUAUCACGAAAAAAUCGAUAAGAGGAGACGAACUUUUCCAUGAUGUUCUGCAUAUUACAAAGAAAAACAAAAUAAAUAGGUCAAAGAAUACAUUGAACGUAUUGUGCCAACAUACACGGAGAAACGGUUUAGAAGACAUUUUCGUGUAUCAAAAAGCCUAUUCAAAAGCCUAUGUCCAACGUUAUUUAACUGGGAGGCGUAUAAUACAAUGCGCCCAGACAAGAAAUUCUCAGAAGAGGCGAAUAUCCUCGUUUUUUGUGGUUUGCUGGUCACGAGGCGUGCAGUUAUAGAUACAUUGCAUACCAAUUCGAUCUUUCUCUUUUUACGGUAGGAGCAAUCAUAUCAAGGAUAUCGUUUUUAUUGAGUUCGAUGAGCCCGGAAAUGAUAAAUGGUCUACUAAGGAGGAAAAAAUAAAGUCCGUACCAUUUUUUGACAACAAAUGCUUUUUUUUAAACGCAAUAGGUUGUAUUGACGGCACGUAUAUAGUUAUUGACCCUUCUAGCUCUGUAAAGGACGAUUAUAUAGAUAGGAAGUGGUUGUAACUUUCAAGGUAUAUGUAACGAAGAAAAUAAAUUUAUUAACAUAUUUGUUGGGUAUCCUGCCUCAUUCUUCGACACCUAGGUUUUCAGAAACUCGCCUAUUGGGAGAAAGUUGUUUGCGUACUGCGGAGAUUAUUAUUUACUAGGUGAUUCGGCAUAUCCCUGUAACCAAUUUCUUAUUAGCCCAUACAAAGAUAAUGGAGGAAUCAGAAAGAUUUGGCACCUUAUUAGAGCCUGCUGUUCUGCAUAAUUUAUCGAACGAAGACGAUAUCGAUUUUACAUCUGAAAUCACCACAAAUCCAAUGCAAGAGCCCUAUGAAUUAACAAAUGUGUCUCAAGGUAAUACUGUAAGAGAUCCCCUUUGUCGGUAUAAUCAAAAUAAA